CCUACGGGAGGCAGCAGUGGGGAAUUUUGCGCAAUGGGCGAAAGCCUGACGCAGCAACGCCGCGUGCGGGAUGAAGGCCUUCGGGUUGUAAACCGCUUUCAGCAGGGACGAAAUUGACGGUACCUGCAGAAGAAGCCCCGGCUAACUACAUGCCAGCAGCCGCGGUAAU
rnacentral:rRNA from 1 species